rnacentral:lncRNA from 1 species
CCAUGGCCACGAGGGCAGCACAGAUCACACGCUUCCUCCUAUAAAGUGGCCGCGACCCUAGGGUUUUCCCCCUCCCCCUGUCUUCCUCCUCAGCGCCAACGCCAGCCCACAACACCACACCUCGCCCCUGCAUCGUUUGGUCGUGCCAUGGAGAACUCCUGCCGGAGCUUGUAGCAGGAUUUCCUUCCUCCAAUCCGUGCGUCUUCUUCUUCGCCUGUAGCCUCGGAUCUGAAGGUUCUCCGGAGUUUCCCACCUCUCCAUCACCUCCUUGCUGGUUCCCCAUUGCUAUCUUCAUGUCCUAGGUAGGGGAGGUACA